CUAAAUACUACCCAGUGACCGAUAGCGUAUAGUACUGUGAAGGAAAGGUGAAAAGGACCCCGGGAGGGGAGUGAAAAAGAACCUGAAACCUUGUGCCUACAAGCACAUAGAGCACAUCAACGUGUGAUAUGGUACUUUUUGUAGAACGGUCCGGCGAGCGAUUGUAUGUUGCGAGCUUAAGGUCUUAAGGACUGGAGGCGUAGCGAGAGCGAGUCUGAACAGGGCGUUCAGUAGCAUGCAAUGGGCCCGAAACCGGGUGACCUACCCAUGAUCAGGCUGAAGUGAAAGUAAAAUUUCAUGGAGGGCCGAACCGACCUCCGUUGAAAAGGCGGCGGAUGAAUUGUGGGUAGCGGAGAAAUUCCAAUCGAACUCGGAGAUAGCUGGUUCUCCCCGAAAUAGCUUUAGGGCUAGCCUCAUGUUAGAUAUCCGGAGGUAAAGCACUGAAUGGCCUAGCGUCCGAGAGGAUAGCGAAGCCUAUCAAACUAAGAAUGCCGGAAUAUUGAUGCAUGGGAGUCAGACAGUGUGAGAUAAAUCUCAUUGUCAAAAGGGAAACAGCCCAGAUCUACAGCUAAGGUCCCAAAUUGUAUCUAAGUGGAAAACGAUGUGGAAAUACGCAGACAACCAGGAUGUUGGCUCAGAAGCAGCCACUCAUUUAAAGAGUGCGUAAUAGCUCACUGGUCGAGCGUCUCUGCGCGGAAAAUUUAACGGGGCUAAGAUACAAACCGAAGCUUAGGCUGCAUCGUAAGAUGCGGGGUAGGGGAGCGUUGUGUAAGCGGAGAAACAGUAGCGUAAGCGGCUGUGGAGUUUACAGAAGUGAGAAUGCCGGAAUGAGUAGCGCGAAUGUGGUGAGAAUCCACAUGGCCGGAAACCUCAGGUUUUUGGAGGAAGGUUCGUCCGCUCCAAGUUAGGCGGGAGCUAAGGUGAGGCCGAAAGGCGUAGCCGAUGCACAGACGGUAGAGAUUCCGUCACCACCAAAAGAGUUAAGCACAGGGACACAUAUGAAGUCUCGGAGCCGGGUGUUGGUUCCGGUAGCGAUCGAGGGAAAUUAGUACCGAAGUCCGGGAUGGAAGAUGGCGAGAAAAGCUGUGUGUAUUUCUGCGGUGCCCGUACCGCAAACCGACACAGGUAGGUAGGAAGAAGAUUCUAAGGCCAACGGGAGAAGGGUUGUUAAGGAACUCGGCAAGUUGACCCCGUAACUUCGGAAUAAGGGGUGCUCACGAGAGUGAGCCGCAGAGAAUAGGCCCAGGCAACUGUUUACCAAAAACACAGGUUUGUGCUAAAUCGAAAGAUGACGUAUACGAGCUGACGCCUGCCCGGUGCUGGAAGGUUAAAAGGAGAUGUGCAAGCAUUGAAUUGAAGCCCCAGUGAACGGCGGCCGUAACUAUAACGGUCCUAAGGUAGCGAAAUUCCUUGUCAGGUAAGUUCUGACCCGCAUGAAAGGCGUAAUGAUCUGGGCACUGUCUCAACAGCCCGCCCGGCGAAAUUGUAGUACCGGUGAAGAUGCCGGUUACCCGCGACAAGACGGAAA
rnacentral:rRNA from 1 species